GUUGACCUCAGAUCAGGUAGGAAUACCCGCUGAACUUAAGCAUAUCAAUAAGCGGAGGAAAAGAAACCAACAGGGAUUGCCCUAGUAACGGCGAGUGAAGCGGCAACAGCUCAAAUUUGAAAUCUGGCGCAAGCCCGAGUUGUAAUUUGUAGAGGAUGUUUCUGGCGACGUGCCUUCCGAGUUCCCUGGAACGGGACGCCAUAGAGGGUGAGAGCCCCGUACGGUUGGAUGCCUAGCCUCUGUGAAACUCCUUCGACGAGUCGAGUAGUUUGGGAAUGCUGCUCUAAAUGGGAGGUAUACGUCUUCUAAAGCUAAAUACCGGCCAGAGACCGAUAGCGCACAAGUAGAGUGAUCGAAAGAUGAAAAGCACUUUGAAAAGAGGGUUAAAAAGUACGUGAAAUUGUUGAAAGGGAAGCGUUCAUGACCAGACUUGAGCAGGUUGAUCAUCCGUGGUUCUCCGCGGUGCACUCUGCCUGCUCAGGCCAGCAUCAGUUCGUUCCGGGGGAUAAAGGCUCUGGGAAUGUGGCUCCCUCGGGAGUGUUAUAGCCCACUGCGUAAUACCCUGGGAUGGACUGAGGUUCGCGCUCUGCAAGGAUGCUGGCGUAAUGGUCAUCAACGACCCGUCUUGAAACACGGACCAAGGAGUCGUCUUCGUAUGCGAGUGUUCGGGUGUCAAACCCCUACGCGUAAUGAAAGUGAACGUAGGAGAGAGCUUCGGCGCAUCUCCGACCGAUCCUGAUGUUCUCGGAUGGAUUUGAGUAAGAGCAUACGGGGCCGGACCCGAAAGAAGGUGAACUAUGCCUGUAUAGGGUGAAGCCAGAGGAAACUCUGGUGGAGGCUCGCAGCGGUUCUGACGUGCAAAUCGAUCGUCAAAUAUGGGCAUGGGGGCGAAAGACUAAUCGAACCUUCUAGUAGCUGGUUUCCGCCG
rnacentral:rRNA from 1 species